rnacentral:lncRNA from 1 species
GUUGGGGCAUUUUCUAAGAAGUUUCUUAAGUUUCUCCCAUAAUUUAUGAAUUUGUUCUCCUGGAAGCUGAGCAAAUCUAGUGAUGGCUUACCUCAUAGUGUUGGUUCGACCUAUGGGAUAGAUUUCUUAAGAAAUUCAUAUUGUAAUUCAGUCCAAGUUUGAAUUGAUCUCCCUAUUGUGCCAAACUAGUACUUGGCUUUGUCCUUAAGUAAGAAAAGAAAUAG